GAUAUAUGUAUGUAUGGAAGCGAUGUUUCUCCUCUAAGGAGAACUGAAAAUAAAGAAAGCCAAUGUCAGGAAUAUAGACAGGAGGGGAUAUAGAGAAAUUAAAGUGUCCUGGUUAUGUGACUGGGAUAUCCAUUGAACAGGUGAGGGCUCUUCUUCCUGUCCACAUCAAUGUGUCAGUUAUUUGCUGUUUUACAUCCCCGUUGUACAGCACCACACACUACGUUGGUGCUAUAGAAAUUAUAAUACCCAUAUGAAUGGUUACAACUGAGCCCUGAAAUACGUAUAUGAUGCAUUUCUUCUCUAGUAACACAAGGUGUCGCUGUUGUAUUGGGUUUUGUAAAAGACUAAUGCAAAUGCAAUAAUCAAGAUUCGUCAUAUUAUAAAGUUAUAGGAAAACAGUCGCUUUUUAAAUUAUUUUGUGAUCAGGACUACCACCAGAACUCUUGGGCCCCCUUGCAAAACUAUUGGCAGGUCCCCCAAUGCGCGUGAGCAGACACAAACAAACCCUUAUACAGAUACACAGGUGCACACAGCCAUACACAGAUACACAGAUUUACACACUAUCAUACAUAUACACACAAAUACAUAACCAUACACACACUACCAAACACAUGCAUACUGCUACGCAUAAAUAGAGUACUUACACAGAUACACACAUUCACACAUAUACUUACAUACUCACACUGCCACAUAUAUACACACAUGCACAAACAUAUGUACAUACUAACACACACAUAUACAGAUAGAUACAUAUACGCAUACACACAAAUGCACAAGCAUACAAACACUGACACACACAGUUACACAAUGCCACACACAUGCAUGUUGACAGACACACACUGCCAUACACAUGGUCUUAGUGAAUACUGAUGGCUGUCCUCCUUGAGAUACAUUUUUUUUUUUACCUCAUUACAUUUAUUAGCUAAA